AUGGGUUGUAGGAAAAAACUUAGAUUUCAAUCUGAAGGGAAAGGUUGUGUUCGAAUCUUAUUAGUAAAUGACACAGAUUUUGUGUCCCACAGACACAAGAAGGAGAAGAAGAAGGACAGAGAGAGGGAGCGUGACAAGGACCGUGAGCGGAAAGAGGAGAAGGAACGGAGCAGAGAUGAGAGAGAGCGCUCCACCAGCAAGAAGAGGAGAAAGAGUAAGGACAAGGAGCGGGACAGGGAGAAGAGUGACACUGAGAAAGGGGACGUCAAGGUGACUAGAGACUACGAUGAAGAGGAGCAAGGUUACGACAGUGAAAAGGGGGAGAAGAGGGAUUCUCCUCCAUCAUUGGAUGCUACCGAGUUGUCUGUGCCAGUGAAAGAGCCCAAAAUAAACGGUGAUGAUCAUCACGAGGAGGACAUGGACAUGAGUGACUGAAGCUGUGGUCAUCCGUAUGUGUAGGGUAUUACACAAGGUAUACCUUCCCAAUUUGAGUUUUUGGUUCCUCUUUACCUAAAGGAUGUUCUCCUUUAAUGCUCACAGAAGUCUGGCUCUGGUCAUUUAUUUUUCUAGAACCAUUUACAUCUGUCCAGACAUAAUAUGAAGUUGUAAAUGUAGCAGUUUUGUAUGAGGAAAGGCCUGUGUGCCUGCUGAGUUGAUGGGUUUUAUUUUUCUCUUGUCAUAUUUGUAAAAUACAAAUAAACUGUACAAGACAAAACA
rnacentral:lncRNA from 1 species